UGGAUGUGGAGGAAACCGGAGCACCGGGAGGGAACCCACGCAAACACGGGGAGAACAUGCAAACUCCACACAGAAAGGCCACAGGUGGGAAUAGAACCCAUGACGAUUGUGCCGUGAGGCAAUAGUGCAAAACGCUAAGCCACAGU